UACUUCCAAUAGUGAUUCAGUUAAUGAAGUUAUGACUCAAAUGAAUGAGUUAACAGAGCACAUGGAGGGAUCUUCUACUGACCCUGCAGCAUUACAGGAGCAAAUCUUCACACAAGUUAUGGGCCCAGAGCGACCUGGCCGUGUUCGGACGUUUGGAUUGGGACCGUCACCCACUGAUGUUUUUGGAGGUGGAUAUAGGCGGUCACAAGAGCAGAAUCGUCUCUUCCAAACUCAAGUUCAGGAACAAGUUCAAGAGCAACUUCAACGGUAUCAAAUGCAGUUCGAGUCGAAGAUGAAUGAAGUAAUGGAGAAACAAAUUCAGGCUAUACGCACAGAUUUUCAGUCACGAAUUCAGUUUUUGGAAUCUCAAUUGCAAGCUGCAGGCGUGCCCGUUGAUUUAGUUGUUGCACCAUCAAACCCAUUACAUAGGCAGCAGGUAUUUUAUUAUUUUUACUAGUUAUUACUUUAAAUUUCCUAGAGCUAAUAUACAACUUAAGCCUCUUAUUGAAUGAUAGGUUGUGGAUUCACUUAGUAGUCAUCCUACUGUUCGGCCAAUGUCACAUCAACAACAAUCUCAUGCAUUUUCAUCCCAAGAGGUUCACCUUUCAAAGAAAGAGAAGAAGAAUAAGAAGAAAAAGAACUAACAAGGAAGAGGCUACCAAAAGCAAGUCUGCAGGAAAGGCAUAGUACCAGACUAUGAUCUCCGACAGCGAUUACACCGAGUUUGAAAACUUCUCAAAGUGGUUGGGAGUCUCCCAGUGAGAUUUUUCUGUCUUUGAGUUUUGUCUUAGUAUAAUAUCUUUAUCUAAUUGUUUUGUUUCAAGAGGAGUUAAUUUACUUUUUGUGGCAGUUUUGAGACAAGAUUUGAGUUUGGUGGGUAAUGUUUUAUGACAAGAUGGAUGGAUUUUUCAUUUUAGCAGAUCUGGAAUCAAAAUUUUACAAAUUGUAGUCUCUUACUUAAACACGGUUUGUUAAGUUUUUUUUGAAUGAGAAAUUGAAUUAAUGCUUCAUUUGUUA